rnacentral:tRNA from 1 species
UAAAAAGAUAGGACUUGAACCUACCCCUCAGGGAUCAAAACCCCAAAUGCACCCUCUACACCACUUUUUA